GUCUACGGCCAUACCACCCUGAAUGUACCUGAUCUCGUCUGAUCUUGGAAGCUAAGCAGGGUCGGGCCUGGUUAGUACUUGGAUGGGAGAAAUGAGGAGGUGUUGAUC
rnacentral:rRNA from 1 species